rnacentral:rRNA from 1 species
UACGCACCGAGGAAGAACUUGUUCUUCCAACGUGAGUGGCGAACGGGUGAGUAACACGUGGGAAACCUACCCUUUAGCGGGGGAUAACAGUCGGAAACGACUGCUAAUACCGCAUAGAUCUUUUCUUCACCUGGAGGAAAGCGGAAAGGUGGCUUUAUGCUACCACUAAAGGAUGGUCCCGUGGUGCAUUAGCUAGAUGGUAAGGUAACGGCUUACCAUGGCCAUGAUGCAUAGCCGACCUGAGAGGGUAAUCGGCCACAUUGGGACUGAGACACGGCCCAAACUCC